rnacentral:rRNA from 1 species
GACGAACGCUGGCGGCGUGCCUAAUACAUGCAAGUUGAGCGCUGAAGGUUGGUACUUGUACCGACUGGAUGAGCAGCGAACGGGUGAGUAACGCGUGGGGAAUCUGCCUUUGAGCGGGGGACAACAUUUGGAAACGAAUGCUAAUACCGCAUAAAAACUUUAAACACAAGUUUUAAGUUUGAAAGAUGCAAUUGCAUCACUCAAAGAUGAUCCCGCGUUGUAUUAGCUAGUUGGUGAGGUAAAGGCUCACCAAGGCGAUGAUACAUAGCCGACCUGAGAGGGUGAUCGGCCACAUUGGGACUGAGACACGGCCCAAACUCCUACGGGAGGCAGCAGUAGGGAGUCUUCGGCAAUGGACGAAAGUCUGACCGAGCAACGCCGCGUGAGUGAAGAAGGUUUUCGGAUCGUAAAACUCUGUUGGUAGAGAAGAACGUUGGUGAGAGUGGAAAGCUCAUCAAGUGACGGUAACUACCCAGAAAGGGACGGCUAACUACGUG